ACACUACAGACUCCCUGACACACGUUUUUCAGAAACUGAGGAAUUCUUCAGCUAAAGAGAGGAUGACUGCCUGCCAAUCCUGACCAAAGCGUUUAUUUCAGAGGGUGACACCCAGAUUUUUACACACUACUCCAGCCGAGGCCUCACCAAUGCCAAGCAAAGCAAGACAAUUACCUCCUGCGUCUUACAUACAACACUUCUAAUACACUCCAGAAUUAUAUUAGCCUUUUUCGCAAAAGCAUCACAUUGUCGACUCAUAUUUAAUUCGCAAGCCACUAUAACUUCCAGAUCCUUCUCAGCAGUACUGUCAUCUAGCCAGUUACUCCCCAUGUUGCAGUUGUGCAUUUGAUUUCUCCUUCUUAAGUGAAGCACUUUGCACUUGUCUUUACUGAAUUUCAUCUUGUUGAAUUCAGACUAUUUCUCCAAUUUGACAAGGUCAUUUUGAAUCAGUCAUGAUGUGGACACAUGGCUCUUUGCCUGUAUAGAAGUCGCAAGCAAAGGUCAACAGCUGACAUUUCUGUGGCCUGUCAUGCCAUAACAUAUCAGCAGCCUUCCUUUCACCAAGCCAUUUAAAAACAUACCAUAGCAAACUAUCUUGCAUUGGGGGUGCAUAGACUAGAAGAACUAAUGGAAAUUUCCACAUUAAUUCCUAUUAUUCUAAAAAGAAGGGAUGGAGGGGGAGACGAAGCCUGCUCAUGUACAUGAAACCCAUACACUUCUACUUUUCCUGUGAUGGCCACCAAAUGAUUAGGGUUCAAGUGUUUAAGGAACUGGCCUUGGAUUCAAGAGAUGGAACUUCAAUUUCCUGCUCUGCCUCAGGCUCCCUGCAUGACCUCAGGCAAGUCACCUGGGUGAAGACCUUCAAAGGUGCAAAUGGCAGUUUAGUGACCAACACCCACGGACUUUCAAGGGGAGUUUGGCACCUAUUUAUGCCCUUGAAAAAUCCGCCCCUAAUUAGUCUCUCUGGACCUGAGUUCCCCAUCUGUAAAGUGGGGAUAACAGCACUGCUGUACCUCACAGGGUGUUGGGAGGAUAAACGUAUUGGAGGUUGAGAAGCACUCAGAUACUACAGCAAUGGGGUCAGAUACGUACCUAGGCACAUAGAAAUCUAAUCAGCACUCCGAAAACACUAUUUAAAAGCAAGCCUAGAUCUCUCUUUUCUGAAAGAGCUCAAUAUGCAAUUGCUUCUAUCAAGCUGUUUCGUUCAGAACCUUCACAUUCUGAACCCAUCCACUUCACUACAGAUACGCAUGUCAUCGCGGUGGAUUUAAAUUCAGAGCAUUAUUGGCUGCUCUGGGGUUCUUCAUGAGUAAACAGUGAACUCACACAGGAACAAAGCUGCCUCAAGAGAAAAACUGCCAUCUGUUUACACAACUACACAGGCCAGAUAAAAUGCUAGUGACUUUAUUAUAUACAAGAUUUAAAAAAAAAAAAAAAAAAAUCAUCUCCUCCUCCUCCUCCUCUCACUACAUCAAGUUCAAGUUUCCAGUCCUCAUCUUUAAGGCUCUUCACAACACUGCCCUUCCUUACUUGUCUGCUCAUGUUUCUUCUUGCAUUGCCUUUCUUCUCUGCUCUGCCAAUGAUGGCAGUCUUCUCUGAGUGACCAUUUGCCAGCUUCUCACAUAAACGUGCCUGAACUUUCCUCCAUAGUACUCCUAACGCAUAGAAUGCUGUCCCAGAACUGAUCUGUACCGCUGCUGUCCUUUCCUCCUUCACAUCCAUUCUCCAGGCCCACUUCUGCUGCUAUUCCUACACGAGACCAGCCAACUCAUGAUGGCUGCAUUAAAGGGCAGAUCGGCUAGCUCGCAUGUAUCUAUUUAAUAAAUAAUCAUGUGCCAAUACA